UCUCUAUACGGGAAGCCAGAAACUUUAAAGUCCGAGUGAAAUGAACCCUCAAAUCGGAGGAGGCUCUCCUUCCGGUUCCUCCGUUCGAUCGUCGAUCCCCACAUGGCGAAGAAGAAGCGAUCGCCGACCUCUCCUCCUCCUCCUCCUCUCGUCGAUGCGAAACCCUAGGCGACGAUGCCGAUCGCACCAGCCACCUUGCCCCCGACUCGGUGAUCCACCACAUCUUCUCGUCUCUCGACCUCGCACGCAUUGUCCGCACGUGCGUUUUUGUCGAAGCGGUGGCGAUCCGUCUGGACCGCCGCCCCGGACCUCGUCUUCUCCUUCCCCUGGCGGAACGCCUCCCCGUCCGUGGACGGCGUCUUGAUCCUCUAGGCGUCGCCCAAGGUGAGGAAGUUCUACAUCGACGCCGAUUUUUUCGACCGUUGCGCGCUUGAGCUCAGUCCGUGGCUUCGCUUUGCUGUCGACCGCCGUGUCGAGGACCUCUCAGUCGAUGCGACUAAGAGGUUGUGCGAGAUGGCCGGCCAUUUCGCAGUACCGGGGCUCCUUUUAUGGAUGCUCUUCGUUUGGUGAACCUGCACUCAGGGCUCUGUUGCUUCUCGUUGAGUAGAAGUAUCGCUUGGAUUAAUCUUAGGUCCCUGUCCGUCUGUGACUCGGAGGUGAUGCAUGAGAUGUCGAAUGGCAGCCCUGUUCUCGAGGACCUUAGUUUGGAAGGAUGCUACGGUUUAAAGCGAACCAUCAAGCUUUGUUCGAGAACUUUGAGGGAAAUUGCGGGUCAAUGGCUGCUUUCGGGUAUGCACUUGAUGAGGGUUUCCCCUUGGAGAUUUCAAGUCCUCUGUUGCUGUUUGAGAGGAUUUUCUGGUAUGAUGAGGCAGCUGGUAACGGAAGUCUCAAUCCUUGAUUGAAGCAGAGUCGAACUUUUUUAUGAGAGGCGAGGAUUUUGGAAGGCCAACUGAUUGUUUUGUUCAAAAUCGGUUCGAGUCUUACAGAGGGUAUUGCAACCUGGUUGAGGGACUGCUUCAGAAGCUGCAGAACGCGACUAAGCUUUUGAUUGGUAGUUGGUGCCUUCAGUUUUUGAAUGUGCUUAGGUUUUAUCACUUGCGGUAGAGGUACAAGGUGUGCCAUUUUCUUUGCCCAAUUGCAAGUUCUGACUCUGCAUGCAUGAUGGCCUUAUUCCUCAUUUGCUUUUCGUUAAAUGCACUACGGUCCUUUUCCCCAAAUAAAUCACUUCAAUUGCCAAUCCAGUUCAAAUUGCAUUUGAUGGAGAGUUGGUGAAUAUAGAGGUUAACUGCUUGGAAUUCUAAAUGAGAACAUGACAUCAAACUAAGGAGUUGGUGUUUUACACAAAAAUGAAUGGCGAAUGAUGGUAAUGGGAGGGAAAAUUUGGAGAUGACAUAGUUGGAAAUAAAGAAUCCCAAGCUGAUACUAGUUGAAUGAAGGGAUUUUAAUUUACAGGUGCGAUAGAUUUCUAUCAACUUCUAGACAAGAUUGGUGCCUUUGGAGAUUUCCAUAACAUAACUGACAAUCAUCUAGACCAACUGGAAGUGUACCCUACUCCCGUAUUGCCAUCUUUUUGCCCUUUCCAGUACACCAGUCAAAGUGUUCAUGAAGAUAAAGAACUUGAAUUGGAGGGAAUGUCGUUUAUGCUAGAUAGACUAGUUAUGUCCAAUGUAGAAAUGCUUGAUGCCCACUUGGAGUUGGCAGGUUUAACCCCUGCAAAAUACGAUCUCAAUGCCAUCGGGCCUCUAUAUAUUUUCCUUCAAUUUCUGUUAGUGACUUUCAUGAUGUAAUAUUACUUUUGGCUCCGCUCUUCCUCUUCUUGUACUGAUUGAGCGUAAUAUUACUUCUGGCUCCUCUUCUUCCUCUUCUCAUACAGAUUGAGCAUUCCCUACAAGGAUUUCUCACAUUCUGUAUUGUUAAAUUGUAGAGUUUAGUCUGGAAAGUUUCACACAAUUUGUAUUACUUGAAGUUAAUUUAUCUUCUUCUGAUUACAAAGGGGCAUUUCGUCACAUCUUUUUGAUUAAUCAAGUUUGUUGUUGGGAAUUUAACUUACUUGU